AACGAACGCUGGCGGCGUGGAUAAGACAUGCAAGUCGAACGGGACAAGUAGCAAUAUCUGUCUAGUGGCGAACGGGUGCGUAACACGUGGGCAACAUGCCUGGAAGAGCGGGAUAGCCCGGGGAAACUCGGAUUAAUACCGCAUGUGACAACGGGGCGGAUUCGCCCUGUUUUCAAAGGUGGGGACCGCAAGGCCUGCCGCUUCCAGAUUGGCCCGCGUCCUAUCAGCUAGUUGGCGGGGUAACGGCCCACCAAGGCGACAACGGGUAGCUGGUCUGAGAGGACGACCAGCCACACUGGAACUGAGACACGGUCCAGACACCUACGGGUGGCAGCAGUCGAGAAUCUUUCACAAUGGGGGAAACCCUGAUGGAGCGACGCCGCGUGGAGGAUGACGGUCUUCGGAUUGUAAACUCCUGUCAUGAAAGAACAAGCGGAGCGGGUGAACAGCCCGCCGAGUUGAUAGUAUUUCAAGAGGAAGGGACGGCUAACUUCGUGCCAGCAGCCGCGGUAAUAC
rnacentral:rRNA from 1 species